UAUGCAUUUGCGUUGUUGUACUUAUAUCCUAAACUUAAUUUUUAGUGAAGUAUUGAAACAUAUUGACGUUUCAAUAGCUAAAAUUAGGGUUGUUUGUAAGUUUGUUAAGUAUUCUCCUUCUAGAUUGGCCUUUUUUUAAGAGGCGUGCACAAGAUUUAAAUGUAAAAACUAAGGCAAGAGUAAUACUUGAUGUACCAAACUAGGUCAAGUUGAGAUGUUUUUUAGAGAGGGAGAUCAGGUGCUCGUGUUGUUUAUUGCCUUGAGAGUAGAGGGAUAUGUUGUGGCUAGUGAUAUGCAUGUGGUGUGUGAGUUUCCCGAUAUGUUUCCUAAGGACAUUUGUG
rnacentral:lncRNA from 1 species